UGCAGUCGAACGGCAGCACGGGGGCAACCCUGGUGGCGAGUGGCGAACGGGUGAGUAAUACAUCGGAACGUAUCCUUGAGUGGGGGAUAACGCAGCGAAAGUUGUGCUAAUACCGCAUAAGCUCUGAGGAGGAAAGCGGGGGACCGAAAGGCCUCGCGCUGGAGGAGCGGCCGAUGUCCGAUUAGCUAGUUGGUGAGGUAAAGGCUCACCAAGGCGACGAUCGGUAGCUGGUCUGAGAGGAUGAUCAGCCACACUGGGACUGAGACACGGCCCAGACUCCUACGGGAGGCAGCAGUGGGGAAUUUUGGACAAUGGGGGAAACCCUGAUCCAGCCAUGCCGCGUGAGUGAAGAAGGCCUUCGGGUUGUAAAGCUCUUUCGUGAGGGAAGAAAAGGUUCAGGCGAAUACUCUGGAUUGAUGACGGUACCUCAAGAAGAAGCGCCGGCUAACUACGUGCCAGCAGCCGCGGUAAUACGUAGGGUGCGAGCGUUAAUCGGAAUUACUGGGCGUAAAGCGUGCGCAGGUGGUUUGUUAAGUCAGAUGUGAAAGCCCCGAGCUUAACUUGGGAACUGCGUUUGAGACUGGCAAGCUAGAGUCUGUCAGAGGGGGGUAGAAUUCCACGUGUAGCAGUGAAAUGCGUAGAGAUGUGGAGGAAUACCGAUGGCGAA
rnacentral:rRNA from 1 species